CAGUCGCCGCGGUAAUACGUAGGUGGCAAGCGUUGUCCGGAAUUAUUGGGCGUAAAGGGCUCGCAGGCGGUUUCUUAAGUCUGAUGUGAAAGCCCCCGGCUCAACCGGGGAGGGUCAUUGGAAACUGGGAAACUUGAGUGCAGAAGAGGAGAGUGGAAUUCCACGUGUAGCGGUGAAAUGCAUAGAGAUGUGGAGGAACACCAGUGGCGAAGGCGACUCUCUGGUCUGUAACUGACGCUGAGAGACGAAAGCUAGGGGAGCAAAUGGGAUUAGAGACCCCGGUAGUCCCUGUCUCUUAUAC
rnacentral:rRNA from 1 species